GAGAGGGUGAUCGGCCACACUGGGACUGAGACACGGCCCAGACUCCUACGGGAGGCAGCAGUAGGGAAUCUUCCGCAAUGGACGAAAGUCUGACGGAGCAACGCCGCGUGAGUGAUGAAGGUUUUCGGAUCGUAAAGCUCUGUUGUUAGGGAAGAACAAGUGCGAGAGUAACUGCUCGCACCUUGACGGUACCUAACCAGAAAGCCACGGCUAACUACGUGCCAGCAGCCGCGGUAAUACGUAGGUGGCAAGCGUUGUCCGGAAUUAUUGGGCGUAAAGGGCUCGCAGGCGGUUUCUUAAGUCUGAUGUGAAAGCCCCCGGCUCAACCGGGGAGGGUCAUUGGAAACUGGGAAACUUGAGUGCAGAAAAGGAGAGUGGAAUUCCACGUGUAGCGGUGAAAUGCGUAGAGAAUGUGGAGGAACACCAGUGGCGAAGGCGACUCUCUGGUCUGUAACUGACGCUGAGGAGCGAAAGCGUGGGGAGCGAACAGGAUUAGAUACCCUGGUAGUCCACGCC
rnacentral:rRNA from 1 species